AGAGUUUGAUCCUGGCUCAGGAUGAACGCUGGCGGCGUGCCUAAUACAUGCAAGUCGAGCGAACGGACGAGAAGCUUGCUUCUCUGAUGUUAGCGGCGGACGGGUGAGUAACACGUGGAUAACCUACCUAUAAGACUGGGAUAACUUCGGGAAACCGGAGCUAAUACCGGAUAAUAUUUUGAACCGCAUGGUUCAAAAGUGAAAGACGGUCUUGCUGUCACUUAUAGAUGGAUCCGCGCUGCAUUAGCUAGUUGGUAAGGUAACGGCUUACCAAGGCAACGAUGCAUAGCCGACCUGAGAGGGUGAUCGGCCACACUGGAACUGAGACACGGUCCAGACUCCUACGGGAGGCAGCAGUAGGGAAUCUUCCGCAAUGGGCGAAAGCCUGACGGAGCAACGCCGCGUGAGUGAUGAAGGUCUUCGGAUCGUAAAACUCUGUUAUUAGGGAAGAACAUAUGUGUAAGUAACUGUGCACAUCUUGACGGUACCUAAUCAGAAAGCCACGGCUAACUACGUGCCAGCAGCCGCGGUAAUACGUAGGUGGCAAGCGUUAUCCGGAAUUAUUGGGCGUAAAGCGCGCGUAGGCGGUUUUUUAAGUCUGAUGUGAAAGCCCACGGCUCAACCGUGGAGGGUCAUUGGAAACUGGAAAACUUGAGUGCAGAAGAGGAGAGUGGAAUUCCAUGUGUAGCGGUGAAAUGCGCAGAGAUAUGGAGGAACACCAGUGGCGAAGGCGACUUUCUGGUCUGUAACUGACGCUGAUGUGCGAAAGCGUGGGGAUCAAACAGGAUUA
rnacentral:rRNA from 1 species